AAACUUUAUGAACAUAAUCAAUCUGACAUAUGCAGGCCUUGGAUCCAUUUUGAACUCAUUUUGUGGAUGGUGUGAGGUAGUGAUCUCAGCUGGUCUUGAACCGCAAACUGGCUCCUGGCUGCAGCUGCAGCCUCAGUUCAGAUCUUCUGUUGUUAGCGAGUGGCUUGCGCAUGCGUGGUUCAGUCCAUCAGAAAGGUUAAGGAGAUGUAACCACCAGCCAUCCUGAAACUGACCAAAUGAGGCACUCAAGGGAGAUGUAACCACCAGCCAUCCUGAAACUGACCAAAUGAGGCACUCAAGGGAGAUGUAACCACCAGCCAUCCUGAAACUGACCAAAUGAGGCACUCAAGGGAGAUGUAACCACCAGCCAUCCUGAAACUGACCAAGCCUCACCACAAGAGCUAUGCCCAUGACCUUUGCUUUAUUUUUAAUGCAAAGAUCUCUCCAGGAGGAGCUUAGGCCUCAUUAUGUGGAAGCAUGUUCUCCAGCUGAGCCUGUGCAAGUGAAUACCCCCACCUCUCCCUUUUGAAUAUUAUUCCCCAACUGAAAUAAAAGUUCCUGCUUCCCUUAGUUCUGGGACGCCAUGACUUUGGAAAUGAUUCCUCACGGCCUCCUAUUUGCUGCAAAUACAGUUUACUUUGUGAGACAAC